GGUAAUUCCACACCAGGGAAUCUCUUGACAGGAUUCGGUUUCUAUGAACCAUAUUGGCUUGUAGACUUUGCUAAUGCGUGUGUUAUUCUUCAUCUUGUUGGUGGAUAUCAGGUUUUUAGCCAGCCAAUAUUUGCAGAAGUUGAGAGAUGGUUUGCCAGAAAAUUUCCAGAUAGCAAGUUUGUUCACAAGAAUCACACUCUGAAACCUCUAUCAAUGC
rnacentral:misc_RNA from 1 species